rnacentral:rRNA from 1 species
UAGCUAGUUGGUGAGGUAACGGCCCACCAAGGCGACGAUCGGUAGCCGGACUGAGAGGUUGAACGGCCACAUUGGGACUGAGACACGGCCCAGACUCCUACGGGAGGCAGCAGUGGGGAAUAUUGCACAAUGGGGGAAACCCUGAUGCAGCGACGCCGCGUGGAGGAAGAAGGUCUUCGGAUUGUAAACUCCUGUUGUUGAGGAAGAUAAUGACGGUACUCAACAAGGAAGUGACGGCUAACUACGUGCCAGCAGCCGCGGUAAAACGUAGGUCACAAGCGUUGUCCGGAAUUACUGGGUGUAAAGGGAGCGCAGGCGGGAAGACAAGUUGGAAGUGAAAUCCAUGGGCUCAACCCAUGAACUGCUUUCAAAACUGUUUUUCUUGAGUAGUGCAGAGGUAGGCGGAAUUCCCGGUGUAGCGGUGGAAUGCGUAGAUAUCGGGAGGAACACCAGUGGCGAAGGCGGCCUACUGGGCACCAACUGACGCUGAGGCUCGAAAGUGUGGGUAGCAAACAGGAUUAGAUACCCUGGUAGUCCACACUGUAAACGAUGAUUACUAGGUGUUGGAGGAUUGACCCCUUCAGUGCCGCAGUUAACACAAUAAGUAAUCCACCUGGGGAGUACGACCGCAAGGUUGAAGCUCAAAGGAAUUGACGGGGGCCCGCACAAGCAGUGGAGUAUGUGGUUUAAUUCGACGCAACGCGAAGAACCUUACCAAGUCUUGACAUCCUGCGACGGACAUAGAAAUAUGUUUUUCCUUCGGGACGCAGAGACAGGUGGUGCAUGGUUGUCGUCAGCUCGUGUCGUGAGAUGUUGGGUUAAGUCCCGCAACGAGCGCAACCCUUAUGGUCAGUUACUACGCAAGAGGACUCUGGCCAGACUGCCGUUGACAAAACGGAGGAAGGUGGGGAUGACGUCAAAUCAUCAUGCCCUUUAUGACUUGGGCUACACACGUACUACAAUGGCGUUAAACAAAGAGAAGCAAGACCGCGAGGUGGAGCAAAACUCAGAAACAACGUCCCAGUUCGGACUGCAGGCUGCAACUCGCCUGCACGAAGUCGGAAUUGCUAGUAAUCGCAGAUCAGCAUGCUGCGGUGAAUACGUUCCCGGGCCUUGUACACACCGCCCGUCACACCAUGAGAGCCGGGGGGACCCGAAGUCGGUAGUCUAACCGCAAGGAGGACGCCGCCGAAGGUAAAACUGGUGAUUGGGGUGAAGUCGUAACAAGGUAACCGUACUAGUACGGAUGAGG